AUGCAAAGAAAACCACACACCACAGAAAGGUUUUCCUUUCUGAAACGAAUUUCCCAGAACCCAAGAAAAGUAAAAAGCAACCUAAUAGCUCUGGAAAGCAUCAUUAGCAAGGCUUCAUCUGCAGCUCAAUGCCUAGUUUGGGGAACUGCCAUUCAAGAAAGAUCUGACUCAAUUAGAUGCUGUUCCAGGCAGGAGAAGGAUCACAGUCUUAGUCUACAGAGCAGCAGAGCGAGAAGAAAGUUUUUCCAGGACAUAAAGGACUCUUGCGUAGAGGAUACAAAUAAACUUCUGCAUGUUGGUGGACUUUUGAAUCGAGACUGUCUGCCCCUGUGGGUCCGCAUUCUUGCUUCAGUACAAAUUGCUGAUGGAAUGAAAAUCAGCAUAUGAUAUAAAUUAUAUACAUUCAAAGAUAGCUAGUAGAAGAUGAGAGGGGGAAAGGAAAGGAGCAGGAAAAGAGACCAGAAAUCAGAGAAGAAAUGCCUUAAAAAUAUUGCAAAGCUACCUCAAUCCAGAACUCUCUAAACUGUUGGAAAAGUUGCUAGCAGAACACAAAGAUCAAGUUAGGAAUGACUAAAUUGGGUAAGAAAAUGUGUUAAAUUGCAGUUGGCCAUAAUGGACUUACUAAGGAGAGAAGCGUCGAAGACUUAAAACUGUCACAGCCGUGAAAUAUCUUAGAGAAUGAAUCUUGCUGAAAAAUACCUCUCCAAAGAUUUUGCACAGUUGUUUGCCUGAAGGAAGCGAUGAAACUUAAUGGUUGAGUGAAAACUAAUUUAACAUCUACAUUUGAAAAAAGAGCGGCAACUCUUCUGCUCAGUGACUCCCGAGAAGCCUAGAAACCAGCUUUCAAUCAGUGGGAGAUGUUACUGUUCACAAUCAGUUUAUCUAUAUGUUAAAGUUACCUUGUUUCCCCUUAGAUGUUGGGCAUCAUGCAAGAAUUCAUUACUAGGUCAUUUACAAUGAACCCACUGCAAGAUGCCAUAUGUCCAUUAAUACGGGAAAUCAGCUCAAUCACAAUGAUGCUCUCAAACACUAAUUUUAGCAGUUUUAAAGAAAAUAAAUGUUUUUAUUAUUGUUCUCUUUCA
rnacentral:lncRNA from 1 species